ensembl:lncRNA
AAAAAAAAAAAGAAUCCAGGUAAGAAAAGUAAAUAUAGACAUCGUGAGAUUAUCAGCGGAACGCGUUGUAGUUGCUGUGCCGACUGGACUACUUACGGAAGCGCACACGAUCACCAGCGACCAGGUGGUCGUCAUCCUGCGUCGCCUGCUGGAGUCCCGCAGAAACGGAUCUGGCGCAAAGAAGGCAGCGCUAUGAGGAGCAGGAGGAGGAGAAGAGCCGCACAGCAGGAGUGCUCAUCGUAUUCCCACUUUUAUCAAUGCGUCCGCACCAUCACUGGACUGGACUCAGAAGAAGCCGUCGGUGCAGCCCGCAGGACCCCCACACAGAAGAAGAACAAGAAGAAGAAGAAGAGAGAAGAGGAGGAGGAGGAGGAGGAGGAGGAGACAGUCCUGCCCGGAGUGCUGCUAGGAUGCAAGUGCACUGCGGAGGAGGAGAGAAGAGACGUCUGCCCUCCAGUUUAUUACCCCUAUACUCCUGCAAACGAAUUAGAAACCCCUUUCCAUGUGAUUACCUCCAAAACAAGACGACUGCAGGAUACCUCAAAGACUGCAGGGGUAACAGGUGUGUCUACUCCUCUAUUGAUCCGGUUUGGUGAAUCAAACUAAAUUCUCCCAACUCUCCCAUAACUUUUGGUCUCUGGUG